UACGAAGGGGGCUAGCGUUGCUCGGAAUCACUGGGCGUAAAGCGCACGUAGGCGGCUUUUUAAGUCGAGAGGUGAAAUCCUGGAGCUCAACUCCAGAACCUGCCUUUGAUACUGGAGCGCUUGAGUCCGGGAGAGGUGAGUGGAACUGCGAGUGUAGAGGUGAAAUUCGUAGAUAUUCGCAAGAACACCAGUGGCGAAGGCGGCUCACUGGCCCGGUACUGACGCUGAGGUGCGAAAGCGUGGG
rnacentral:rRNA from 1 species